rnacentral:rRNA from 1 species
GUUUUUCGCUUCGAGAUGAGCUCGCGUGAGAUUAGCUAGUUGGCGAGGUAAUGGCUCACCAAGGCAACGAUCUCUAACUGGUCUGAGAGGAUGAUCAGUCACACUGGAACUGAGACACGGUCCAGACUCCUACGGGAGGCAGCAGUAGGGAAUAUUGCACAAUGGAGGAAACUCUGAUGCAGCGACGCCGCGUGAGUGAUGAAGGACUUCGGUUCGUAAAGCUCUGUCGUAUGGGAAUAAGAAAGUG